ACUAAGCGUACACGGUGGAUGCCCUGGCAGUCAGAGGCGAUGAAGGACGUGCUAAUCUGCGAUAAGCGUCGGUAAGGUGAUAUGAACCGUUAUAACCGGCGAUUUCCGAAUGGGGAAACCCAGUGUGAUUCGUCACACUAUCAUUAACUGAAUCCAUAGGUUAAUGAGGCGAACCGGGGGAACUGAAACAUCUAAGUACCCCGAGGAAAAGAAAUCAACCGAGAUUCCCCCAGUAGCGGCGAGCGAACGGGGAGGAGCCCAGAGCCUGAAUCAGUGUGUGUGUUAGUGGAAGCGUCUGGAAAGGCGCGCGAUACAGGGUGACAGCCCCGUACACAAAAAUGCACAUACUGUGAGCUCGAUGAGUAGGGCGGGACACGUGGUAUCCUGUCUGAAUAUGGGGGGACCAUCCUCCAAGGCUAAAUACUCCUGACUGACCGAUAGUGAACCAGUACCGUGAGGGAAAGGCGAAAAGAA
rnacentral:rRNA from 1 species